GACGAACGCUGGCGGCGUGCUUAACACAUGCAAGUCGAACGGUAAGGCCCUUCGGGGUACACGAGUGGCGAACGGGUGAGUAACACGUGGGUGAUCUGCCCUGCACUUCGGGAUAAGCCUGGGAAACUGGGUCUAAUACCGGAUAGGACCACUGCCUGCAUGGGUGGUGGUGGAAAGCUUUUGCGGUGUGGGAUGGGCCCGCGGCCUAUCAGGUUGUUGGUGGGGUGAUGGCCUACCAAGGCGACGAAGGGUAGCCGGCCUGGGAGGGUGACGGGCCUCAGUGGGACUGAGAUACGGCCCAGACUCCUACGGGAGGCAGGAGUGGGGAAUAUUGCACAAUGGGCGCAAGCCUGAUGCAGCGACGCCGCGUGAGGGAUGACGGCCUUCGGGUUGUAAACCUCUUUCAGCACCGACGAAGCGCAAGUGACGGUAGGUGCAGAAGAAGGACCGGCCAACUACGUGCCAGCCGCCGCCGUAA
rnacentral:rRNA from 1 species